rnacentral:rRNA from 1 species
CCCCUAGACGUUCUGGGCUGCACGCGCGCUACAAUAAUACGCACCGCGAGUAUCACCGAGCUCGAAAGGGCAAGGUAAACAAUAGAAAAGGUACUGUAAUGGUUAUAGAUCCUUGUAAUUAUUGAUCUUCAACGAGGAAUUCCUAGUAAGUAUGUGUCAUCAUCACGCACUGAUUACGUCCCUGCCCUUUGUACACACCGCCCGUCGCUCCUACCGAUUGGGUGAGCCGAUGAAACUCUCGGAUGUAGGCUAUUCAUAGCCCGCAGAAGAGAUUUGAAUCGUAGCGCUUAGAGGAAGGAGAAGUCGUAACA